UUUAUUUAUAUAUUUUAUUUAUAUAGUUUAAUUUAAAGUUUAAUUUUAACUUUAUUAUUUAAUUAAUUAUUAUUUUACAUGUAUAUUUAUAUUAAAAAUAAUAGUUCAGUAAUUAGUUUUAUUAAUUUAGUAAUUUAAUUUUAGUAAUUAAUUUUAGAUCUAAUAAAAUUUGUGCCAGCAAUUGCGGUUAAACAAAUAGGUCAAUUAAAUUAUUUUAGUUAUAAUAAAUUAAAUUUUUAUUAUUCAUUAAAAUUUUAAGGUGAAAUUUAAAUUUUAAUAGUUUUUUAAAAUAAUGAUUUAAUAAAAUUAUAUUAAAAACUAGGAUUAGAUACCCUAUUAUUAUAGUUGUAAAUUUAAAUUCUUGAUUAUUAUUAGUUAUGUUCUUGAAAAUUAAAAAAUUUGGCGGUAUUUUAGUCAGUUCAGAGGAACCUGUCCUGUAAUUGAUAGUCCACGAUAUUUUAUACUUGUUUUUUUAGUUUGUAUAUCGUUGUUAAUGAAUUUCUUUAUAGAGAAAAUUUUCUUUUAUUUUUAUUUUAAUAAAUUUCAAAUCAAGGUGCAGCUUAUAAAUAAGAAGAGAUGGGUUACAAUAAAUUUAUUUUUGGUUAUUAAAUUUAAAUUUUUAAUAUAAAAUGGAUUUGAUAGUAAUUAUAUUUAUUUAAUUAUAAUGGUUAAUUGUUCUGAAAUAUGUACAUAUUGCCCGUCGCUCUCAAUAAUUUUGAGAUAAGUCGUAACAAAGUAGAUGUACUGGAAAGUGUAUCUAGAAUA
rnacentral:ncRNA from 1 species